CAGAUGAACCCAAUGAAUUAUGAAAUAAUUCUGGGAAUCAACAAUCAACACCACCACUGGACUUUAGUGGUGAUCUACCCACAAGAGAAAAAGUCUUUGUCCUUGAAUCCACUGGGGGAAUCAAAACAAGACAUCCAGAAAUGUUUGCAAAUCACAAGGGCAUUUAUGAGGAAGAAGGGGUGCAAUGUCUCACGUUGGACAUGUGACCCAGUCAAGCAUCCAAAACAAGAUAGUU